AACGAACGCUGGCGGCAGGCUUAACACAUGCAAGUCGAACGCAUCCUUCGGGGUGAGUGGCAGACGGGUGAGUAACGCGUGGGAACGUGCCCCUCAGUUCGGAAUAACCCAGGGAAACUUGGGCUAAUACCGGAUACGUGCGAGAGCAGAAAGAUUUAUCGCUGAAGGAUCGGCCCGCGUCUGAUUAGCUAGUUGGUGAGGUAAUGGCUCACCAAGGCGACGAUCAGUAGCUGGUCUGAGAGGAUGAUCAGCCACAUUGGGACUGAGACACGGCCCAAACUCCUACGGGAGGCAGCAGUGGGGAAUAUUGGACAAUGGGCGCAAGCCUGAUCCAGCCACGCCGCGUGAGUGAUGACGGCCUUAGGGUUGUAAAGCUCUUUCGUCCGGGACGAUAAUGACGGUACCGGAAGAAGAAGCCCCGGCUAACUUCGUGCCAGCAGCCGCAGUAACAC
rnacentral:rRNA from 1 species